rnacentral:misc_RNA from 1 species
UCCGAUUUGUCACCGGCAGUCUCCCUAGAGUCCCCGACAUAACUCGCUGGCAACUAGUGAUGGGGGUUGCGCUCGUUGCGGGACUUAACCCAACACCUCACGGCACGAGCUGACGACAGCCAUGCAGCACCUCUACUACUGUCUCUUGCGAGAAGGCGAUGUUUCCACCACUGGUCAGUAGCGGUUCAAGCCCAGGUAAGGUUCUUCGCGUUGCGUCGAAUUGAACCACAUGUUCCACCGCUUGUGCGGGCCCCCGUCAAUUCCUUUGAGUUUCAGUCUUGCGACCGUACUCCCCAGGCGCAGGACCUAACGCGUUAGCUACGGGACGCACCCCCAACGGGAUGCACCCCAAGUCCUGAUCGUUUAGGGCUAGGACUAC